CAAUAGCGUAUAUUAAAGUUGUUGCAGUUAAAAAGCUCGUAGUUGAACCUUGGGCCUGGCUGGCCGGUCUGCCUCACCGCAUGCACUGGUCCGGCCGGGCCUUUCCCUCUGGGGAUCCGCAUGCCCUUCACUGGGUGUGUCGGGGAACCAGGACUUUUACUGUGAAAAAAUUAGAGUGUUCAAAGCAGGCCUAUGCUCGAAUACAUUAGCAUGGAAUAAUAGAAUAGGACGUUGCGGUUCUAUUUUGUUGGUUUCUAGGACCGCCGUAAUGAUUAAUAGGGACAGUCGGGGGCGUCAGUAUUCAAUCGUCAGAGGUGAAAUUCUUGGAUCGAUUGAAGACUAACUACUGCGAAANCANNNGCCAAGGAUGUUUUCAUNAA
rnacentral:rRNA from 1 species